rnacentral:rRNA from 1 species
CAUGGCUCAGAUUGAACCGCUGGCGGCAGGCUUAACACAUGCAAGUCGAGCGGUAACAGGGGGUGCUUGCACCCUGCUGACGAGCGGCGGACGGGUGAGUAAUGCAUAGGAAUCUGCCCAGUAGUUGGGGAUAGCCCGGGGAAACCCGGAUUAAUACCGAAUACGCCCUACGGGGGAAAGCAGGGGAUCUUCGGACCUUGCGCUAUUGGAUGAGCCUAUGUCGGAUUAGCUAGUUGGUAGGGUAACGGCUUACCAAGGCGACGAUCCGUAGCUGGUCUGAGAGGAUGAUCAGCCACAUCGGGACUGAGACACGGCCCGAACUCCUACGGGAGGCAGCAGUGGGGAAUAUUGGACAAUGGGGGCAACCCUGAUCCAGCCAUGCCGCGUGUGUGAAGAAGGCUUUCGGGUUGUAAAGCACUUUCAGUGAGGAGGAAAACCUUAUGGCUAAUACCCAUGAGGCUUGACGUUACUCACAGAAGAAGCACCGGCUAA